GCAGACCCACGUCCUAAUGAAAAGUGUCACCUCGGAGGCCGUCCAGACGAAACGUCCUGUAGUCAACAACACCACACGACUCUUCCUUUAACAGAUGGCUUCUGAAUCCAGCAGAAAUGUGACAGACUUCACCACAAAAUCUCUACUUUUACUGGUCCAAUGUGUGCCUGACACCUGCGCCUUCUCACCUCAGCCACCAGAUCUGCAAAUUCCAACAUCAUAUUCAGCAAUGCCAUGUGGAACCUGUAGUUUAGAGCCUACAUCUGCCAGUACACAGAUGUAGCCCAAAACUAUUCGUAGCCAUGCCAGAUUGUGCUGCAUAGUGAUUCUUUAUUUGACAAAUAGAUUGGU